AUGCAUCUGUUUGCUCCUCCACUUCUCUCUCCGGUUGAGACUGAAUCUUGCUGUUGCAAGGCCAAUUGGGAAUUUAUAUUUCCCUCAGCAACUUGCCUUGCUGAUUCCAGAAACAAGUGGAAGACAUCCAUUCCCAGACAAAGCGUGUCAGGUUGGAUCUCAAGCUCAGUAUCUUUGAAAGAGGAUGCUUUAACCUACUUCUUCAGAAUUUUCACAACUGGUGCAACAUGGACAGAAAAAAUCACAGUUGCUUCACUGAUGCCAGUGUUUCUGCUGGAACCAGACAGAACAUGGAUGAGCAGAGAUAGGGCAGUAUCAUGGAUCACCAGGAAAAUACUCCUUAUCCAUGAGCAACUGCAUCAUGGGGGGAGACUCUAGUCAAUUUAGUGCUUAGCUUAGUAGGGAAGUUGAAGUGUUCUAAAGAAGAGAUGCCAGUUUUUAACAAAGCCUUUCUGGAGAGCAUCUUUGAAAUCAUCACCAGUCUUUGCAGGUCUGGGUUCAGAUAGAAUCGUCUGUGUUGAAAAUAAAUUGAUAUACUGUAAAAGGGACUAGCA
rnacentral:lncRNA from 1 species